GACGAACGCUGGCGGCGUGCUUAACACAUGCAAGUCGAACGGAAAGGCCCUGCUUUUGUGGGGUGCUCGAGUGGCGAACGGGUGAGUAACACGUGAGUAGCCUGCCCUUGACUUUGGGAUAACUUCAGGAAACUGGGGCUAAUACCGGAUAGGAGCUCCUGCUGCAUGGUGGGGGUUGGAAAGUUUCGGCGGUUGGGGAUGGACUCGCGGCUUAUCAGCUUGUUGGUGGGGUAGUGGCUUACCAAGGCUUUGACGGGUAGCCGGCCUGAGAGGGUGACCGGCCACAUUGGGACUGAGAUACGGCCCAGACUCCUACGGGAGGCAGCAGUGGGGAAUAUUGCACAAUGGGCGGAAGCCUGAUGCAGCAACGCCGCGUGCGGGAUGACGGCCUUCGGGUUGUAAACCGCUUUCGCCUGUGACGAAGCGUGAGUGACGGCAAUGGGUAAAGAAGCACCGGCUAACUACGUG
rnacentral:rRNA from 1 species